rnacentral:rRNA from 1 species
CAGGCCUAACACAUGCAAGUCGAACGGUAACAGGUCUUCGGAUGCUGACGAGUGGCGAACGGGUGAGUAAUACAUCGGAACGUGCCCAGUAAUGGGGGAUAGCUCGGCGAAAGCCGGAUUAAUACCGCAUACGCCCUGAGGGGGAAAGUGGGGGACCGCAAGGCCUCACGUUAUUGGAGCGGCCGAUGGCUGAUUAGCUAGUUGGUAGGGUAAAGGCCUACCAAGGCGACGAUCAGUAGCUGGUCUGAGAGGACGAUCAGCCACACUGGGACUGAGACACGGCCCAGACUCCUACGGGAGGCAGCAGUGGGGAAUUUUGGACAAUGGGGGAAACCCUGAUCCAGCAAUGCCGCGUGUGCGAAGAAGGCCUUCGGGUUGUAAGGCACUUUUGUCAGGGAAGAAAUCCUUUGGGCUAAUACCCUAGGGGGAUGACGGUACCUGAAGAAUAAGCACCGGCUAACUACGUGCCAGCAGCCGCGGUAAUACGUAGGGUGCAAGCGUUAAUCGGAUUUACUGGGCGUAAAGC